CUCAGUGUGUGCCUGGGACCUGCGGAGGCCAGCAGAGGGCGUGAACUCCUUUGGAACUGGACUUAUAGGUGAAGUUUCACUUCUGGAGUGUACUAUCCUCCAUCGGCAACUUCUGUUUUCCAAAUCCUCGUUAAAGCUGGAGACGCUCCGACGCAAAGACUCGGUCCGUAAUCCAGCAUUCAAGCUCCCAUGUGGGUCCCGGGAGUCAAACCUGGGUCUUCAGCAAGAGCAGGAAGUGAGUGCUCUUAACCUCAGAGCCAUCUCUCCAGCCCAACUGUUUCUUUCCCUUUUCAGAGCUCCCUACUAGAUGGAAAUUUAAUUACGGCUGGUCUGACAGAGCAAUGCAACCAGACUAACAAGAAUGAAGAUCGACUAAAGACCCACUUGUGGGGCUGGAGACAUGGUUCAGAUCUUAAGCGCACUGGCUGCUCUUCCAGAGGACCUCGGUUCGAUUCUCAGCAAGAGGCAAGGGCAGGCUGACGCCUGUGAGCUCCAGCUCUGCUCUACACAAUGGUGACAGUUUUGAGAAGAAUGUAACAAGCCAAACUGCACACUCCUGCUGCCACAGCCAGGAGCUGCUCUAGACUCCAACCUGCCAAACUUGUCUGCAGCAGAGGCAGCACCUUAUUCUCCUGCAUUGAUGGAUCGGGGUUCUAAGCUCACAUUCUCUCAACGAUUGUCUCUCAUAGUUACAGCCAGCCUAGUGAGCAGAAAGCUAUAUUCUGUUAUGAUGUCUUGUGUUACCCAGGCUGGCAGCCAAGGAUACCAUUGAAUCCUGACCCUCCAGACUCUAUCUCCCAAGUGCUAGAAUUACAGGGAUGAACCUCCAGGACCAGCUGUAAGAAAGUCUCUCCACCAUUUGUUUCAGACCCAAAGAAAUCAACCUGGGGAAUGGCGUGAGUCCUGCUCCUAAAGAGUUUGGUUUGUGAGCGCCAGUACUGUGUGGCUCACACGCUAACUCCAGCUCCAGGGCAUCUGAUGCCCUCUGUUGGCUUCCAUUGGCACAGGCACACAUACUUAUAUAGACCUACACACACAUAAG
rnacentral:lncRNA from 1 species